rnacentral:rRNA from 1 species
UACGAAGGGGGCUAGCGUUGCUCGGAAUUACUGGGCGUAAAGGGCGCGUAGGCGGGUCUUUAAGUCAGGGGUGAAAUCCUGGAGCUCAACUCCAGAACUGCCUUUGAUACUGAAGAUCUUGAGUUCGGGAGAGGUGAGUGGAAUGCCGAGUGUAGAGGUGAAAUUCGUAGAUAUUCGCAAGAACACCAGUGGCGAAGGCGGCUCACUGGCCCGGUACUGACGCUGAGGUGCGAAAGCGUGGGGAGCAAACAGG